ACGGGAUCCGUCCCGGAGAGGAAUGUGGUCCUUCUGGACUGAACCUAGGU
rnacentral:ncRNA from 1 species